GAUGAACGCUAGCGAUAGGCUUAACACAUGCAAGUCGAGGGGCAGCAUAAUUUUAGCUUGCUAAGAUUGAUGGCGACCGGCGCACGGGUGCGUAACGCGUAUGCAACUUACCUUAUAGAGGGGGAUAGCCCGUUUAACGACGGAUUAAUACCGCAUAUACAAACAGCUCGGCAUCGAGCAAUUUGGAAAUGAAUUUCGCUAUAAGAUAGGCAUGCGUCCCAUUAGCUAGUUGGUGAGGUAAUGGCUCACCAAGGCGACGAUGGGUAGGGGAACUGAGAGGUUGAUCCCCCACACUGGUACUGAGACACGGACCAGACUCCUACGGGAGGCAGCAGUGAGGAAUAUUGGUCAAUGGACGCGAGUCUGAACCAGCCAAAUCGCGUGAAGGAUGACUGUCUUAUGGAUUGUAAACUUCUUUUAUACGGGAAUAAUCACAGAUACGUGUAUCUGUUUGAAUGUACCGUACGAAUAAGCAUCGGCUAACUCCGUGCCAGCAGCCGCGGUAAUACGGAGGAUGCGAGCGUUAUCCGGAUUUAUUGGGUUUAAAGGGUGCGUAGGUGGUCUGAUAAGUCAGCGGUGAAAUCUCCGAGCUCAACUCGGACACUGCCGUUGAAACUGUUAGACUUGAGUGUAGAUGAGGUAGGCGGAAUGCGUGGUGUAGCGGUGAAAUGCAUAGAUAUCACGCAGAACUCCGAUUGCGAAGGCAGCUUACUAAGGUACAACUGACACUGAAGCACGAAAGCGUGGUAUCAAACAGG
rnacentral:rRNA from 1 species